UACGUAGGGACCAAGCGUUGUCCGGAAUCAUUGGGCGUAAAGAGCCUGUAGGCGGCUUGUUAAGUCUUGCGUGAAAUCUCGGGGCUCAACCCCGAGCGGUCGUGAGAAACUGGCAGGCUAGAGUGCGGGAGAGGAGAGUGGAAUUCCUGGUGUAGCGGUGAAAUGCGUAGAGAUCAUGAGGAAGACCAGUGGCGAAGGCGGGUCUCUGGACAGUUCCUGACACUGAGGCACGAAGGCCAGGGGAGCAAACGGG
rnacentral:rRNA from 1 species